rnacentral:rRNA from 1 species
AGCGUACACGGUGGAUGCCCUGGCAGUCAGAGGCGAUGAAGGACGUGCUAAUCUGCGAUAAGCGUCGGUAAGGUGAUAUGAACCGUUAUAACCGGCGAUUUCCGAAUGGGGAAACCCAGUGUGUUUCGACACACUAUCAUUAACUGAAUCCAUAGGUUAAUGAGGCGAACCGGGGGAACUGAAACAUCUAAGUACCCCGAGGAAAAGAAAUCAACCGAGAUUCCCCCAGUAGCGGCGAGCGAACGGGGAGCAGCCCAGAGCCUGAAUCAGUGUGUGUGUUAGUGGAAGCGUCUGGAAAGGCGCGCGAUACAGGGUGACAGCCCCGUACACAAAAAUGCACAUGCUGUGAGCUCGAUGAGUAGGGCGGGACACGUGGUAUCCUGUCUGAAUAUGGGGGGACCAUCCUCCAAGGCUAAAUACUCCUGACUGACCGAUAGUGAACCAGUACCGUGAGGGAAAGGCGAAAAGAACCCCGGCGAGGGGAGUGAAAAAGAACCUGAAACCGUGUACGUACAAGCAGUGGGAGCACGCUUAGGCGUGUGACUGCGUACCUUUUGUAUAAUGGGUCAGCGACUUAUAUUCUGUAGCAAGGUUAACCGAAUAGGGGAGCCGAAGGGAAACCGAGUCUUAACUGGGCGUUAAGUUGCAGGGUAUAGACCCGAAACCCGGUGAUCUAGCCAUGGGCAGGUUGAAGGUUGGGUAACACUAACUGGAGGACCGAACCGACUAAUGUUGAAAAAUUAGCGGAUGACUUGUGGCUGGGGGUGAAAGGCCAAUCAAACCGGGAGAUAGCUGGUUCUCCCCGAAAGCUAUUUAGGUAGCGCCUCGUGAAUUCAUCUCCGGGGGUAGAGCACUGUUUCGGCAAGGGGGUCAUCCCGACUUACCAACCCGAUGCAAACUGCGAAUACCGGAGAAUGUUAUCACGGGAGACACACGGCGGGUGCUAACGUCCGUCGUGAAGAGGGAAACAACCCAGACCGCCAGCUAAGGUCCCAAAGUCAUGGUUAAGUGGGAAACGAUGUGGGAAGGCCCAGACAGCCAGGAUGUUGGCUUAGAAGCAGCCAUCAUUUAAAGAAAGCGUAAUAGCUCACUGGUCGAGUCGGCCUGCGCGGAAGAUGUAACGGGGCUAAACCAUGCACCGAAGCUGCGGCAGCGACGCUUAUGCGUUGUUGGGUAGGGGAGCGUUCUGUAAGCCUGUGAAGGUGUGCUGUGAGGCAUGCUGGAGGUAUCAGAAGUGCGAAUGCUGACAUAAGUAACGAUAAAGCGGGUGAAAAGCCCGCUCGCCGGAAGACCAAGGGUUCCUGUCCAACGUUAAUCGGGGCAGGGUGAGUCGACCCCUAAGGCGAGGCCGAAAGGCGUAGUCGAUGGGAAACAGGUUAAUAUUCCUGUACUUGGUGUUACUGCGAAGGGGGGACGGAGAAGGCUAUGUUGGCCGGGCGACGGUUGUCCCGGUUUAAGCGUGUAGGCUGGUUUUCCAGGCAAAUCCGGAAAAUCAAGGCUGAGGCGUGAUGACGAGGCACUACGGUGCUGAAGCAACAAAUGCCCUGCUUCCAGGAAAAGCCUCUAAGCAUCAGGUAACAUCAAAUCGUACCCCAAACCGACACAGGUGGUCAGGUAGAGAAUACCAAGGCGCUUGAGAGAACUCGGGUGAAGGAACUAGGCAAAAUGGUGCCGUAACUUCGGGAGAAGGCACGCUGAUAUGUAGGUGAAGUCCCUCGCGGAUGGAGCUGAAAUCAGUCGAAGAUACCAGCUGGCUGCAACUGUUUAUUAAAAACACAGCACUGUGCAAACACGAAAGUGGACGUAUACGGUGUGACGCCUGCCCGGUGCCGGAAGGUUAAUUGAUGGGGUUAGCCGCAAGGCGAAGCUCUUGAUCGAAGCCCCGGUAAACGGCGGCCGUAACUAUAACGGUCCUAAGGUAGCGAAAUUCCUUGUCGGGUAAGUUCCGACCUGCACGAAUGGCGUAAUGAUGGCCAGGCUGUCUCCACCCGAGACUCAGUGAAAUUGAACUCGCUGUGAAGAUGCAGUGUACCCGCGGCAAGACGGAAAGACCCCGUGAACCUUUACUAUAGCUUGACACUGAACAUUGAGCCUUGAUGUGUAGGAUAGGUGGGAGGCUUAGAAGUGUGGACGCCAGUCUGCAUGGAGCCGACCUUGAAAUACCACCCUUUAAUGUUUGAUGUUCUAACGUUGACCCGUAAUCCGGGUUGCGGACAGUGUCUGGUGGGUAGUUUGACUGGGGCGGUCUCCUCCUAAAGAGUAACGGAGGAGCACGAAGGUUGGCUAAUCCUGGUCGGACAUCAGGAGGUUAGUGCAAUGGCAUAAGCCAGCUUGACUGCGAGCGUGACGGCGCGAGCAGGUGCGAAAGCAGGUCAUAGUGAUCCGGUGGUUCUGAAUGGAAGGGCCAUCGCUCAACGGAUAAAAGGUACUCCGGGGAUAACAGGCUGAUACCGCCCAAGAGUUCAUAUCGACGGCGGUGUUUGGCACCUCGAUGUCGGCUCAUCACAUCCUGGGGCUGAAGUAGGUCCCAAGGGUAUGGCUGUUCGCCAUUUAAAGUGGUACGCGAGCUGGGUUUAGAACGUCGUGAGACAGUUCGGUCCCUAUCUGCCGUGGGCGCUGGAGAACUGAGGGGGGCUGCUCCUAGUACGAGAGGACCGGAGUGGACGCAUCACUGGUGUUCGGGUUGUCAUGCCAAUGGCACUGCCCGGUAGCUAAAUGCGGAAGAGAUAAGUGCUGAAAGCAUCUAAGCACGAAACUUGCCCCGAGAUGAGUUCUCCCUGACUCCUUGA